rnacentral:SRP_RNA from 1 species
GCCGGGCAUGGUGGUGCAGGCCUGUAGUCCCACCCACUUGGGAGGCUGAGGCAGGAGGAUUGUUUGAACCCAGGAGUUUGAGGCUGCAGUGAGCUAUGAUUGCACCACUGCACUCCAGACUGGGUGACAGAGCAAGAACCUGUCUCAA